rnacentral:siRNA from 1 species
UGGUCGUCCUUGAGGUUUC